rnacentral:rRNA from 1 species
AUGCCCCUCUCUACAUUGGCAUCUACACAGCCAAAUCAAGGACUUAAACUCCUGAUGUUCAUGUAUUUGCUAAUGCUGUCCAUAGGAACGGCUCCUCCUAUCCCCUGCUCAUCUCGCAUUGGCGCAAGUCCGCCUCCUCCCCCGCCUCCAUCUCCACGCGUGCAGCAGCGACCCGGGAGGAGCUUGAGCCGCAGCGGUGGUCCAUGGCGCCUUCGCUGUCAUCCCCGGCUGGAGAAGCAUGGACCGCAGAGACAGACGGAUCUGUCCGGCCCUCGCGCCGUCAUUCGUCCACUCUCAAGGUUUGUACUUGCUGAAACAAUUGAUGACGUCUUUUUCCCUGCAGGAUAA